AGUGAACGCUGGCGGUAGGCCUAACACAUGCAAGUCGAACGGCAGCACAGUAAGAGCUUGCUCUUACGGGUGUCGAGUGGCGGACGGGUGAGGAAUACAUCGGAAACUACUUUUUCGUGGGGGAUAACGUAGGGAAACUUAUGCUAAUACCGCAUACAACGUACUGGGGAAAGCAGGGGAUCUUCUGACCUUGCGCGAGUGAAAGAGCCUAUGUCGGAUUAGCUCGUUGGCGGGGUAAAGGCCCACCAAGGCGACGAUGCGAAGCUGGUCUGAGAGGAUGAUCCGCCACCUUGGAUGUGAGACACGGCCCAGACACUGGCGGGAGGACGCGGUCGGGACUCUUACACGAUGGAGGAGAGCGUGAUAUAGCACAAUCGGGGGAGUGAUGAAGGAGUUAGGCUUGGAAAGUGAUUAUGUUCUGAGAGAAGAAAAGCACGUUUAUCCGGGAUGAUAAUGACGGUACCCAAAGAAUAAGCACCGGCUAACUUCGUG
rnacentral:rRNA from 1 species